rnacentral:rRNA from 1 species
GACGAACCACACAAACGUUAUUCGGAAUUACUGGGCUUAAAGGGUGCGUAGGCGGCGCGGAAAGUAGGGUGUGAAAUCCCUCGGCUCAACCGAGGAAUUGCGCCCUAAACUACCGUGCUCGAGGGAGAUAGAGGUGAGCGGAACUUAGGGUGGAGCGGUGCAAUGCGUUGAUAUCCUAAGGAACACCGGUGGCGAAAGCGGCUCACUGGAUCUCUUCUGACGCUGAGGCGCGAAAGCGUGGGGAGCAAACAGG